GCCCCCGUAGCUCAGUCGGAUAGAGCGGAUCUCUCCUAAAGAUCAGGUCGCAGGUUCGAUUCCUGUCGGGGGCACCG
rnacentral:tRNA from 1 species